AGCAUUAUCCGUGUUAAUGUGAUAAUGCAGUUUAUCUAGACAAUUCUUUCAUUAUAAGGGAGAUAAGUCGUAAGGUCUUAUUACACGCAGCUCAGAUUAUGUGUCCCCUUUAGUUGAAAGGUCGCAGUUAAUGCUAGCGCUUACGUCAUCAGUCGUCUACGUCAUCUAUUCCGGACUUUAGUUGAAAGGUCGCAGUUAAUGCUAGCGCUUACGUCAUCAGUCGUCUACGUCAUCUAUUCCGGACUUUAGUUGAAAGGUCACAGUUAAUUAAUGCUAGCGCUUACGUCAUCAGUCGUCUACGUCAUAUAUUCCGGAGCACAUGGUCCAGUCUCUUUUUUUAUGUGAAUCGAAGUUGAACCCGCCCACCCUACCCAUAGUUAUCAAAUAGAAAAUUAAGAAUUUAUACAAUGUAUACUAUAUAUCUGUUUCUGCUCUUGUUUUCUUUAUAUUUGCAGUUACUUGUGAGUGGCACCUUACGACCAACAAAUGAAAUAGUUUGCUAACUCCAAUUCGUCGACAGUCGACAUUAGAAAAUUGAGGAUUGUCCAUGGCAGUAUUUUUCGACGCAGUGUUUUAUUAACUAAAAAUAAUUCAAUUUAAGUUAAAGAAAGAUAUAAAACAUUGUGUUAAAUACUGUUUGUGAUUGAACCCCAACAGUUAGAUCUAGCAGUAAUCAUUAAUUCGGCGAUUGGUCAUUCAAUCUGCCAUUGGACUUGUUGUGUACGAGUCGAACUUGAAAUUGAUUUGUUGAUUUAUGUAUGAUGAACUGAAUGAUAAACAAUGACUUGUGAAUGAAAAACAGUGAUAAAUGAUGGUUUAAUAAUGAUUAUACAAUCAAUAACAAAGUGGCUUGGUCUAUUCCCCAGCACUAUUAUUUUCCUUUGCAUGUUUCAAUUUUUUUCAUGAAUUCGAUAUCGUCGACUGUCAGGCAAUUAUUCCACUAAUAAAUUUUAAUGAUAA